UAUGUGUGUACUUUUGUUCAUCUCUAUUCUAUGCUUUGCUUCACUAGGAAAUCCUACCCCCAUCCCACCUCUGGUGUUUGAGUUCCAUAGUAAUGAGUCACUGCCACCCAAAGCUUUGAAAGGAAGGACUUUCUAGGUCAGAGGUUUUUCUUUUCUUUUUAAUAUUACUACAUAUUUUUCUUUAUUAAGUACCUUUAAUGCAAUGCCAGCGGCAAAAUUGGGAUUGGAGUCAAACUUGCUCUCAUCUUUUUACCACACUGCACUUCCUCGGAACCUUCCUUUGCCUUUGCUGUGUUCUAAGGCCGUAGAAGUGGUAAGUCACUAGCUCUCUCUGUCAUUUUUUUUUUCUUCUGAUAAAUGAGGUAUUUGGAACAUACUUAAAAUUUAGUUUAGUUCCAACAUUCUAAGAGCCUUCAUUAGAGUGACCAAGUACACUGGUUAUUUUAUUUCAUUUCAUUUUACUUUAUUUUUAAAUUUAUACCAGGGUCAUUCAAGGUCUCAUCACUGCAAAUGAAAAUAUUAAAUAAUAUUCAUAAGCCAUGUUUGAAUCCACCACAUCAGAGAAGGAGUUGGGGACUCCUAGACUCCUCUUUUUCCUUUGGGAGGAAAAGGAAAUUGGCAAACAUUUUGAAAAAACUGGAUACUAUCCCAACAUCCUUAGAGUCAGCACUGUGUCUAUAAAUUGUAACAUCUUAACUGAUAAAACGUGCUUCUUCAUGCAAAAGUCUGUAUUUAUUCGACGUGGAUGCAACUUCCCUCCAAAGUCUUGCUGUCUCUCUAUCUGAUCAUUAUCUUCUCAGGUCUCUUCUAGAUACACUCUUUCUACUUCUUUUUCCACUAUCCAAUUUGUCUUCUUCAAUGGAAGAGCAUACACAGUUUGGUCUCUUUAAAACCUGCUAGUGAAGAAAAUGAUACAAUGCUGGACAGUUAAUGGGGAGACCAAAGCACCAUUCUAGAUUUCAGGAUGAGCCCUGGCCUGGGCCUUCUAAAGGAUGAAGAAGGUGUGCUUUCCUGGGAUGUGCAAGGAAGCAGCCCUCCUACUUUUGUGCCACUUGGACCCUAAGCCUUACUGGCUUGCGUAGCAAGACCAAAAGGUCAGCUCCAUGUGCUGCGCCUGCGCACUAUGCGGACGAGGAUAACUCCCAGAAGUCUGUGCGGCGCGGACCGCAAGUUCGAGGUGACCAGCCAUGCCUAGCUCAGGAUGUAAUUCUCCUGUAUUACCAGCAACUCUACUUUUCUGGCCUUGGAUUCUAUUUCCUUUAAGGCACUGCAGAUAGUUGUGUCUCCCCCACGCAGACUUGGCAGCCUUCCCUUGUGAAUUUGGAGAUCUUACUUGGACUCAAAUGACCUCAAGCCCAUUAGGAUGUUUGGAGUGGGCAGUCCCUCACUGAUGCCCCCCAGGCAUAAUCUCCAAACAUGCCAGUGCCAGACUCAGAGGUGAAGAGUUCUUUUUAUAUUUUACUAUAUUAUAAACUGAGACCUUAAAACUUAUACUUACUAGUUCACUGAAAAAAUGACCCUAUUAUAUGUUAUCAUAGAUAAUAUGUUUAUCAUAGAUAAUAUGAAAAAUGGUUUUCAAAACAAAAAAUUUUAGAAGAGUGGCUUUUUUUACAUUUCCACAAAUAUCUUUAAUAGACUUAAUAGAAGAGAAUGAAUUUUCAUAUGUGCUUUGUCAUCCAAUCAACAGUAAUAUGCUACUUUAGUUGAACUACAUGAAAAAAAUUGUCCUCUCACAAAUAUGUAUUUAUAAAAGGGGGAGUAACUUAACAGCAUUUCCUGAAAAAUGUAAAUAUUAUUUUUUGAUGUUACAUCCAAACAAAACAGAA
rnacentral:lncRNA from 1 species